CCUUUCGCGAUUAGAUGAGUCUAGGUGGGAUUAGCUAGUUGGUAAGGUAAUGGCUUACCAAGGCGACGAUCCCUAGCUGUUCUGAGAGGAUGAUCAGCCACACUGGGACUGAGACACGGCCCAGACUCCUACGGGAGGCAGCAGUGGGGAAUAUUGCACAAUGGGCGAAAGCCUGAUGCAGCCAUGCCGCGUGUGUGAAGAAGGCCUUCGGGUUGUAAAGCACUUUCAGCGAGGAGGAAAGGUUGGUAGUUAAUAGCUCAUAGCUGUGACGUUACUCGCAGAAGAAGCACCGGCUAACUUCGUGCCAGCAGCCGCGGUAAUACGAGGGGUGCAAGCGUUAAUCGGAAUUACUGGGCGUAAAGCGUACGCAGGCGGUUUGUUAAGCAAGAUGUGAAAGCCCCGGGCUCAACCUGGGAAUUGCAUUUUGAACUGGCAAACUAGAGUCUUGUAGAGGGGGGUAGAAUUUCAGGUGUAGCGGUGAAAUGCGUAGAGAUCUGAAGGAAUACCGGUGGCGAAGGCGGCCCCCUGGACAAAGACUGACGCUCAGGUACGAAAGCGUGGGGAGCAA
rnacentral:rRNA from 1 species